CGAACGCUGGCAGCGUGGAUUAGGCAUGCAAGUCGGACGGGAUCGUCUGGAUAGCAAUAUUCGGGCGUGAGAGUGGCGGAUUGGGGAGGAGCACGUGAGCAACCUGCCCUGGAGAUGUGGAAAACCUCUGGAAACGGAGGCUAAUACAGAAUGUGGCGCCCCGUGGCAUCACGGGAGCGCCGAAGGGGGCCGCAAGGCUCCCGCUCCGGGAUGGGCUCGCGCACCAUCAGCUAGUUGGCGGGGUAACGGCCCACCAAGGCCUACGGUUAGCUGGUCUGAGAGGAUGACCAGCCCCACUGGGACUGAGAUACUGCCCAGACUCCUACGGGAGGCUGCAGUCGAGGAUCAUUCGCAAUGGGCGAAAGCCUGACGAUGCGACGCUGCGUGGAGGAUGAAGGCCUUCGGGUCGUAAACUCCUGUCAUGGGGGAAGAGGCGAGGGAAGCGAACACCUUCCUUAGUUGACUGUACCCCAAGAGGAAGCGACGGCUAACUCUGUGCCAGCAGCCGC
rnacentral:rRNA from 1 species